rnacentral:lncRNA from 1 species
AGUCAUCCACACGAGCCUACGAAUCUCGAUCAGAAGUCCUGCUUCAGAAAAUCAGCACAGUAUGCUAGUACUGUGCUGAUCCUUCUUUGAUGGUUGAUCAGGUGCCUCCUUUUUCCUGAUUUGGGCUCUUCCAAAGAUGAGAAGUAGGAGAAAGAGUUUUAAAUCUGAGACACUCUCAGAAAACUCAAGAUGGAGGAAGGAAAGAGAUGAAAACAAACAACCCUAGAAGAAGAUCCUCUUCUUCUUCUCAUUUCUCUCUCUAAACACCCUAUCUUGUGUCUAUUAUAUCUCCACGACCCAA